rnacentral:lncRNA from 1 species
GUAUCCUUGUACUUUUAAAAGAAAUUCAAUCCAGAAUUUCUGUGGUCAGUAGGAAAGAGAGGCAUGAGCCGAAAGGAUGUGGUAGGGACACAGCUGCAAACCCCCCAUCCUCACUUGUCAUAGGAUCCGGCCAGUUCUGUGUGCUGUGCCCUGCAGCUGAGUUGCAAGAGAAAUGAGAUGUCAUGGCCAGUCUCUUCCUUUCCUGGGUCAAGGUGGAGCCAGCCACGUGUCAGCUCGCCUGCCCCAUGUGAGUGUCCUGGUUAAAACCCUGGCUCCCUGCUGCCUCCCAGAAGCUCCGCACACCCAUCACGAAAAUUACCAGGUCUCUGCUAGCCCGUUUCCAGGAGCUGCUUGGAGCCGGAGAAACAGUUGGACAGACUAUAGUGAGCAGAGCAGCAGUACAGAAAGGCACAGGAAGACGCCAUCCUUGGAGGGAGGAGCCACUGGGGCUGGCGUCGUGGCGCAACCGAGUUGACGUCUUUCCUUCCAGCCCGGGAGAGUGCUACACCAUACAUGUCUGGCCCCCAACCAGGAAAAAAGCCGGGCUUCGCCUAACCCCUCGAUUCUUCGGUGGCAGCUGAUCCAAGAGGCCUGGACACUGAGAAGUCAUCAAGCACUCUUCAAGCCAAUGGGUCUGGACCCCCUAUGCCCAUUUCCUGGAUUUUAAAAAGUAAGUUUGUACUGGGGACGGCAGUGCUGUGUGAAGUCAUUCUUACCCCAGAUGAAGGCGGGUAGCAGAAGUCACCAGGGAAACCCAAAGUCAUCUUUCUACAUAGGCUGUUUGUUCACAGUAAGAUCUCCAUAUUACCUAGCAGGACCAAGCUCCAAGUUAAUAUGAUUUUCCAUAGCUUACACAUUAUAAUUAAAUACGUGAAUUUAUUUCUUUGGAAGAAAGCAAGCAGAACAUUUCUUUCCAUCAUAGAAACAACCAUAUCUUUGGUUUCUAUUAAAGACCGCUGGUCUCCCAGGCUCUGUUCAAAAUCUACAACAAGGGAAUUCGCAGAAUUUUCAUAAAAGCAAUUGAAAUUACAGCGUCUUCGUACACUCCCAGGGUGUACUUGUAUUAACAAAAGAUGUUUUGCUUUACUCGCACCUGCUCAGUUCUCCAUGGGGGCUCAAG